GUCCUGGGACACCUUUGCCACUCCGAGACUCCAAAGGGCAGCCAGUGUACACAAUAGAGCAUUCCUUGGACUAACCUGGAAAUCUUCCACGUGGCUCACUGAGCUCUCAAGCCUCAGGGGGCAGGCGGAGUCCUGGGCAGCUGCAGCCAUCUCAACCUGGCUUUUGGGUUCUAGAAGCUGUGCCGGGUGCAGGGCUAGUCUGGAGGUGGAGGGAGGAAGUGCCCAGGAGGGCGAUGACAUCACCGCCCAGCCCUUGAAAGAUGAGCUGUUUCCCCAGCGACUCCAGCUUGCUCCAGCGCCCGGGAGGGGUGGGGACAUCGGGCUGCCCGAACGGACUGAGGGAAGGACUGAGGUGCCCGUGUGGCUCACUCCGAACAAGCCCAGGCAGGGCCUCACUCACGUCCAACUCUGAGUUCAAAUGUUCUCUGCCUGGAAGAGACCAAUGUUCCUGUCUGUUCAUGAGGACCCUGUACCCACCACAGCCUCUUUCAGCGUGGAUAUGCUUAACAUCACCUCUCAUGGCCUUGCAUCUGCUCUCAACGGGACCCUUUCCCAGGGCAACUGCCUCCACUCUGACUGGUGGAGCUGGCUCAACGCCAUCCAGGCCCCCUUCCUCUGGGUGCUGUUCGUACUGGCGGUGCUAGAGAAUGUCUUUGUGCUCAGCGUCUUCUGCCUGCACAAGAGCAGCUGCACGGUGGCAGAGAUCUACCUGGGCAACCUGGCCGCGGCAGACCUGAUCUUGGCCUGCGGGCUGCCCUUCUGGGCCGUCACCAUUGCGAACAAUUUCGACUGGCUCUUCGGGGAGAUCCUCUGCCGUGUAGUGAACACCAUGGUCUACAUGAAUCUCUACAGCAGCAUCUGUUUCCUGAUGCUGGUGAGCAUCGACCGCUACCUGGCUCUGGUGAAAACCAUGUCCAUGGGCCGCAUGCGCAGGGUGCGCUGGGCCAAACUCUACAGCCUGGUGAUCUGGGGGUGCACGCUGCUCCUGAGCUCUCCCAUGCUGGCCUUCCGGACCAUGAAGGAGUAUGGAGCCGAGGGCCACAACGUCACGGCCUGCAUCAUCGUCUACCCGUCCUGCUCCUGGGAGGUGUUCACCAACGUCCUCCUGAACUCUGUGGGCUUCCUCCUGCCCCUGAGCAUCAUCACCUUCUGCACGGUGCAGAUCAUGCAGGUCCUGCGGAACAAUGAGAUGCAGAAGUUCAAGGAGAUCCAGACAGAGAGGAAGGCCACGGUGCUGGUCCUGGCUGUGCUGCUGCUGUUCAUCAUCUGCUGGCUGCCCUUCCAGAUCAGCACCUUCCUGGACACGCUGCUGCGCCUCAAGAUCCUCUCCAGCUGCUGGGACGAGCACAUCACCGACAUCCUGACACAGAUCGCCUCUUACAUAGCCUAUAGCAACAGCUGCCUCAACCCCCUGGUGUACGUGAUCGUGGGCAAGCACUUCCGCAAGAAGGCAUGGGAGGUAUACCAGAGACUAUGCCAGAAGGGGGGCUGCGUGUCAGAGUCCAGCCAGAUGGAGAACUCCAUGGGCACCCUGCGGACCUCUAUCUCGGUGGAGCGCCAGAUCCACAAAUUGCCAGAGUGGGUGGGGAGCAGCCAGUGAGUGGAUGCCAGUGGCGCUUCUGUUCUCGUGUGUGGACCGAUGGACAGUUGCUCUUCAAGAUGCCCCCAAGAAGGAACGGAAGGCAUCCAAUGUGUGAGCUGGGGCCGUGAGCCGGUGUCUUCAGUAAAACACAGGAGUGUGAUUCCUGGCCUGCCCAGGGCGCAGCAAGCAAGGUCUUGGGGACGGAGCGACCUUGUGCACUGCCACGGACUCCAUAAAUACAAUAGUAUUAUGGUCCCUCUUUGCUGCCACCCCUGGCCCAGUCUGCCCCUUCCCAGGCGUGGAGGGAACCUGGGGACAGGGACAGGAAUAACGGAGCUUCCUGCCCAUGUGGUGUUCCACUCUGACCCUUCGCGACAGCUCAGAUCCCCCAGAGAAACUGCCAGCCAGCUGUGGUGCGGUGGCUGAGUGCACCCACGGGGGCUGCCUUACCUCCCUGAGAUCCACUCGGCUAGGGCUCUGGAGAAUGAUUCAGGUUAAUGAAGGCUCAACUCAUCCCUAAACCACGGGAUCCGGGUAAGAACCCGGAAACUAGGAUUCUGUUGCUCACCUCACCCUUGAAUGAGCUGCUCCAUGCUAAAGAAGACCAAAGUAAGCACCAGCCUACCUAUGCAGCAAUUUCUGUAUGCGCAGCAUCGAGCCCUGCGGGCCAGAGGAAAGAAGAAAAUGCAGGCUCUGUUUUGAAAGAACUUGCAAACUCAAGGGGUGACCGAGCUCUUGCAGCCUCUGCAGGCUGCUCUAUGCUGUGGUCAAGCAAGGCGCUCUGGACGGUACAGAAGAGGGGGUGAGGAGCCUGGUGCCCCGGUCCAGCUGAGAACUAGUUGCAUAUCACCUUGUCCCUGCCUCAGUUUCCUCCUCUGUGACACGACAUUGUUGUAACACGUAAAGGAAGUAACAGGAAGAGAAGUUCUUUGAAAAAUGAAAGGUGCUAUGUAAAUCUGAGGCAUUAUUAUGCACACAGAAUGGGAAUAAAUUUAUUAUAAAGAAAAAGACAUUGGUGUAGCAACGGCUCUGUAGAGGAGUGUCAGAACUGUAGCUGAUGGUGUGCAAAGUGCCUAUUAGUGCGCCCACAGUAACAUCAGCUCCUUCUACCUUUCCUUCCCACCACUGUCCCGCCAACACAUGCACACACAGAAGCUUUGGGGGAAAGGCCACCCCUUCAAUGUCUGAUGUGUGAUGGGCCAGAGAGAUUUCUGAUUAGACUUGCCUGGGAAUCACACGCUCAGACCCUCACCGCAGGUGGAGGGCAGACAGCUGUCAGGAGUCCAGGCCCGCCUGUGAUGGACCUCAUGUCAGCAACCAAGCGCAUCAACCAAUGGUUUAUUUAAGGCCCAACAGGGACCACCCAAGGGCAGCUGACCACUGAUGUGUCACGGAGGUCAUUUACCCCAAAGCUUUGCUCUAGGACCAAGUUCCCCUACUCGGAAGGCUGAGUGCCUGGCAGGUGCCCCUGGCCAACACGACCUGAUUUCACAGCUGGGCAGCCUGAGCCCAGGCACAUGCCAUCUUGAAGCAGCUCUGGGAACAAGGCCCCUCGUGAUAAACAGACCCAGACUGAAGAGAAACAGGAGAAUGCCGGCCUCACAUUUGCUCAUAGAACCAGCAGCAGAGGGAUCGUCGCUCAGCACCGGAUGGGAGGGACAGGGAGGUGGGCGGGGCGGUGGGCAGCCCCAGGGGCCAGGCAAGAGGUGGCUGGACCAGCAUCCUUGGCCCCAAACCCCAGGUACCCCAGGGGAAUUCAUUUCUUCUUUUUCUACCCGUCUUAUAGUCUGCUUCUUGCUGCCAGCACCAUGCCAAGUCCAUGGGGUGGUUGGAUGAAGCACCACCCAGCCGCUCAGAGCCUAGGCAGGGAGGGGCCCUCAGCGGCAGCCCCCCAACAGCUCGCUCACUCACUAAAUAAGUGAGUACUUGGUAGCCAGCUCUCUGAGGAGGAGAGAACCUGGGACCCAGGAGGGUUUGGAUGGCAGAGAGUGCGUAAAUCCUGACCCAUUCAGCUCUGGAUCUUAAAACAAAAAGGGUCAAAAAAGAUCCCCUCCCCAUCCCAGCCUUUUGUUGCCUGCCAUUCACACCCCUUUACCCCACUAAACACACACCCUUGUGGCUGGAGAAAGAAAACAGAUGAAUAAGGAAUGAACCCCUUCCUAUUAGAAUGAAGUCAAGCCAUGCACAUCCUGUCAGUGGACCACAAAGAGGGCCAAGCUGUGUAGUGCCUGACAUUCAUCCAUCAGCAGGUGUGCACAGGUAGAAGGUCUCCUGGGGGCAGAACCCAUCAUCAUCACAGCCCCGGGUCCCUUGUGAUCACUCGAGGGCCCAGACGCGGUCUGAAUCGGUCUGCGGGAAGGGGGCUGCCCUGUGGGUUGUGUUGACACCAUGAUAAAGAACAUCUCUCCUACGAAGGCCCUAAAGGGGUGCUACGUUGUGAAGAGGGAGCAUUUCGCAAACAAUGAGGAAUGGAUGAGCUGCUUCAAGAUGUGUCAUUUCUGUACAGGGUACGAGAUGGAUGAGGAGUUAUUGCACAGCUCUUUAACCCGUUACAACUCCCCAGACCCUGAGUUUUGUCCCCUUCCAUUUAUCUCUGUUCAAACUCCCUAGGGAUUCUGUCCCACAGAUAAGGGGUGUCCAAGCUUUUGUGAUUGUAUAUCCCUGUAAGUAAAAGGAUUUUGAUUACCCAUACCCAAUAUGUAUCCUUAUUAACAUGUAUUAAAAUGUACACUCCCAAAUAUAGUCAAGUAGAAACUCAAGAAAAUUUAACAGCAUUUGAAGAAUUUCUCGCAUCCUACAUUCCCACACUAGUAACUCACUACCAGGCUCCCAGGCCCCAUGAGGCCCUAGUAUCAGAGAUGGCAGUGAUUCAAUCAUUCAUGCAUGCAGUAUAUCUAUUUAUUGAGUGCCUUCCAUUUAGCCUCCCCUUCAAAUCAGGAGUGUCUUCUACAAUGUCUAGAUUAAACAGUUGUCUAGCCCCUGCUUGCAUACUCACUGACAUGGGGAACCCAUUACCCACUCUAUUUUGGGACCGCUUCAUCAUUCAUUUAUUCAUUCAUUCACUCACUCAUUAAGCAAAACUUGCAUUCUGUGUCUGCAAAGAGUGGCACUGCUCCCUGUACACCUCCAUCCACUUAUGCCGGAAAGCUGGGCUCGUUGUUAUUGCACACUUCCCUUCAUCUCUUCUGCCCAAUGUAUCAGCACCCCUUUUUAGAUUCCACCUAAGUGUUCCCCGGAUCUAUCUGCUUCUUUCUCUUUCCAGCCAUCAUCUUCUAUUGGUCUCCCCAUCUGUGUUGCUAACUGCCACCGUCCCCCAAUUCUUAUUCUCAGCUCAGCAGCCAAUAAUGUGCUUUAAGAAUGCAAAUGCAGUCACAGGGAGUGCAAGGAGCAGUGUUUAGGGGCCAAGGCCUUGGAACCAGGCAGACGUGGAUGCCGGCUCUGGUUCUAACUGGUUAUUAGCUGAGCAGUCUUGGACAUAUCACUUAUCCUUUCCGAGUCUACAUUUCCUCACCAGUAAAAUGGGAAUAAUAAUGGAUCUGCCUCGUAGAACUAUUAACAGGGUUAAUGUGUGAGUGUUCAGCACCAUGCCUGGUACAGAGCUGGCACUCAAGAUGUGUGAGCUGCCACGAUGCUGAUGGCGAUGGUGACGGCGGCCCUCCGUGAGCUGGUCUCGGCCUUGUCUUUCUCCCUUUCUCUCCCUCCUGGCUCAUCUCUGCCCUCUAGCCGUAUUGGAUGCAUGCGCUUGGGCAGAGUCCAGCACGUAUUCCACUCCCCCUCCAGUGCCCACAUUUCCCACACAGCCUGCAUCCCUCACCCACAGCUCUGAGCUUAGAGAAAGUUGCCCACAAGUGCCCAAGGGACUUUACUCACAGCUGUGAGCACGACUCAAGGAAGUCUGUGAUUCAGAGGAAAGCCACUGGCUGGAAACUCAAGCAGGGCUCUCAAGGGACAGACGGUCUGGGAGAACAUUCCUCCCUUCUCCCUGCACCCCGGCCAGGCAGCAUGAGCGGCCCCUCUGCUCCUGACUCUCCCUGCCCCCAGCAAGCUGGUGUGAUGGGGAGAAGCCCAGGCAGGCCUCUGGCGGACUCACAACCGAGCAAGGGGUCCCACUCCUGAGUCUGCCCUGGUCAGAGCAGCCAAGGGCCUUGGUGCGGAGGCGCAAAAUGAAUGCCCAGUGGCCCAGCGGGAGCCAAUGGGAAACUGCUAGAGAUGAUGACUGCUGUCAAUCUGCAAAGCCACUUGAGUGGUCGUUUUGAUUCAGAAGGUGGAGCCUUGACUUGCAGACCCCAGCAGUGUGCUCCACCAUCAACUUGUGACCCAGCCCCCAGUGUGACCCCCAGGCCAAAUUGAAGAGCCUCUCACAGCUCUGACCUCUGGCCAAGCUCCAGGAGGAUGUGGGGGUCAAGGGUAAUCGAGGAGGUCACAGUUUGACAAUAGCAAUGACUGAAAGUUUAACGCUUGGUGUGUGGAAUUUUUUGGCUGAAGUCAAAGGAGCCCCAUGGAGAUGUCUCACUCUGCUGAGCUCCUUUUAGGCUGGAGACCUUUACGAGCACUCAGGUGGGCAGAAGCUCAUGUCAUCACCAAUUCAUGAUGAGGAAACUGAGGCCCAGAGAGGGAUACAACUUGCUAAGGCCAUGCAGGUUUUCUGGGGGCGUUCUGGAAGCCCACCUGCCCUCGGUUGCUGUGCCUUAACAGAGGGGUGCAAAUUCAGUCACAGACAGAGCCCCCAAGGGGCCUUCCUGCAUGAAGAGCUUCUGAGCCAGCCUGUGGACUAUUUCUGCCCCAAUCAACAGAUUGGCAUCUCCUGGGCCCUGUGAGCACUAGCUUCCUGCAGAAUCCCCUCCCCAGCAGCCUGUGGCUAACACCCUACACUGAGAUUUGUUUUUAAUAACAGCUUUUUUGAGAUAUAAUUCCCAUGCCACACACCCCCACAGCUUUAGUAUACUUAGAGAGUUGCACAGCCGGCACUGCUCUCUAAUUCCAGAACGCAUUCGUCACCCCAAAAAGAAAUCCCAAGUCCCAUUCCAUUAGAGUCAUUUUCCAUCCCUCCCUCCCCGCAGCCUCUGGUAACCACUAAUCUUCAUUGUGUCUGUGGGAUGGCCUGUCCCAGACAAUUCAUGUAGAUGGAAUCAGACAGUACGUGCCUUUGUGUCCAGCUUCUUUCAUCUCGCUUAUACUGAGAUACAACAAUUAAUUGUAGGGGAGGAAUUUGGGAAGCUAGGCCUUGAGUCGCUACCGUGCCACUUACCGUCAGAUUGUGGCAAACCCCUCUCCUCCUUCCCCACUCCUCUGCUGGCCUUUGGCCUCAGUUUCCUCAACUGUAAAAUGGGCAGGUAACACAUUACGUGUGCCUGUCCCCCAGAGCUUGUGACUCUGGAAAGGAGGCUUUGUAUCCAGCUCAGCGCCAACAUGACAGGGGCGCUGCCCUGGGGCUUGGAGCCAGGUUCCUGGGUCACAUCCAGCUCUGCCACGUCCUGCCUGUGGGAAUUUGAACAACGUCAGUUAACUUGUCUGAGUUUCCAUUUGUUCGCUUAAUAAAUGAAGAUCCAGUUGUUAUGAAGAGUAAGUGAGAUGAAGGUGGGCCUCAUGGGUUGAAAAGUGUUCUUUUCCCCUGAAAAUUCAUAUCCACAUGGAACCUCUGAAGAGAAGGGAGUCUUUGCAGAAGUAGUUAAGAUGCGGCCAUGCUGACCUGAGGUGAGCCCUAAAUCCAGUCACUGGGGAGGAGGGCCUAGAAGAAGAGAAGGGAUACGGAGACCAGGGAAAAGGCCCCAAGAAGCUGGAGACAGAUUGGGCAUGGUGCUUUUAUAAGCAGGAGUGCCAGGGGCUGCCCAGAACUACCCGGAGCCAGCACAGAGCAGGGGGUGGGGGCUCCCUCAGAGCCUCUAGGAGGAGCCGGCCCCGCCACACCUUGACCAUGGACCUUGGGCCUCCUGAACUGAGAGGAUGCAUUCCUGUUGUUUAGAGCCCCCUGUUCUGUGGCACUUUUAUGUGGCAGCCCUAAGAGACCACUGCAGGCAUUGUCAUAGUUGUAAGUGCUUGCUUACCCUUUGAGAUUACCCGUCAUGGUCCACACAGACCUCCUUCCCAGCAGCCGAAGGGCUCCUGAGGGUUAGAGACACUGGUUGGUUAUAGAAGCCUGCCCUGAUGGGAGGUUGUUUAUAGAUGACCCUGAAAGAUGGCCCAAGAUGGGGUUCUGACGCUCCUCCGGACGCCCUCUCCACAGUGAGUCACUCUUCCAGGCCCAUUCAGCAGGCCAGCGAUGUAUGCCUGUUUCUUCUCUGCAGUCUGGCCGAGCCGGGGUACAGCUUAUGUAACCCCUCCUUGUGCAAUCGCAAAGUGGUCCGAGCAGACAGCUGCUGUUGGCUGCUGACCAAGGGCCAGGUAUGUCACCACACCAUCUCACAUGAUCCCCAAACUCUGAGAAGAGGCCAGCUGCACAGAUAAUGAAACCGUGGCUCCAGAAGGUGGUAUAGGAAAUGGUCCAAGUUCACCCAGCUCAACAGUGACGCAGCUAGGAUUUAUUUAUUUGUUUGUUUGUUUUUGUUUGUUUAGGAGAGCAAGGCAGAGGCUUUUAUUUAGAGAGAGAGAUUGAGGACAGAGCUCCUGGCUCAAGCCAGGAGGGGACAAGAGAGUCCCUGAUGCAGCUAGGAUUUAAACCCUGGAGAAGUGACUGCAGCCCAGACCUGCCCACCUGUCUUCCAGAUCAGAGCUUAAGGACCAGGGUCUUACUUUGGAAUCAGAGUUUUUUACAAAAUACCUGUCUGCCUGGAGGCAGACAGAGCCUUGACAUCUUAGCCAAAUGGCUUUUCAGGAUAGUCUGACCCUUGCCCUCGUGCCCCAUGGGAAAGAGCAGACAUCCCAUUCUGAGAACUGGAGGCUCCCAGCAGCAUCUCCACCCCAUUAGCCACUAAAUUUUUUCUCUUCAGCUCAGUCCUGACACCAUAUUCUACAGGGCUAAUUUUCCAAAUUUAAAGCUAUGUUGGUGCCAUCAUUUACUUCUGCAAAGUUUCCUAAAGUCUCUUACAAAAAAAAAAACCUGGCUCCUGAUCGGUCAAGUAAGUCUGACAAAUACCCCUACCACAUCUUCCUCAUGAGGCUCCACAAAGCAUAGAUGCACACUAAAGGCCCUGAGAAGUCCUGCAGGACAGAGGCCUGCUCCCCCCGGCUUGGUCUAACUGAGGCCUCCACAGACUCCAUCUGCACAGAACCUGGUUUUCCCUGGCUGCUCUUCCUGUUCUCUUUGUCCAGCACCUCCUUCUCUAUGUGAAGUUUAAAUGUUGGAGCACCUCAGUCUUCAGUCUUAAGUUUUCUUCUCAGCUCUCUACAUGGUCCCCUUAACUAAUCCCAGGCAGGAUCACGGCUCUAAACACCAUGUGUGAUGGUGAGUUUAUGUGUCAGUUUGGCUGGGCUCCCGCACCCAGUUAUUGGUGAAACCCAAAUCUAGGUAGUGCUGGGAAGGUCUUUGGUAGAUGAAGCGAGCCCUCACUGUAGGCUGACUGUAAGUAAAGGAGAGUGCCCUGGAUAAUGUGGGUGGGCCUCACACAGUCAUUGGAAGGUCCAAAGAGCAAAAACAGGUUUCCUGGAGAAGAAGGAGCAAUUCCGUCUCAAGUCUGCAGCACUGACCCUCAGCCUGAGGUUCCAACCUGCUGGCCUGCUUUCCCGAUUUUGGACUUGUUAGCCCCCCCACAGU